AUUGAACGCUGGCGGCAGGCCUAACACAUGCAAGUCGAGCGGGGUUUUCGGACCUAGCGGCGGACGGGUGAGUAAUGCGUAGGAAGCUGCCCGAUAGAGGGGGAUACCAGUUGGAAACGACUGUUAAUACCCCAUAAUGUCUACGGACCAAAGUGUGGGACCUUCGGGCCACAUGCUAUCGGAUGCGCCUACGUGGGAUU
rnacentral:rRNA from 1 species